AACGGCGAGUGAACCGGGUAAGAGCUCAAAUUUGAAAUCUGGCGUGCUCAGUGCGUCCGAGUUGUAAUCUAUAGGAGUCGUUUUCCGUGCCGGACUGUGUCCAAGUCCCUUGGAACAGGGUAUCAAAGAGGGUGAUAAUCCCGUACUUGACACAAUGACCGGUGCUCUGUGAUACGUCUUCUACGAGUCGAGUUGUUUGGGAAUGCAGCUCAAAAUGGGUGGUGAGUUCCAUCUAAAGCUAAAUAUUGGCGAGAGACCGAUAGCGAACAAGUACCGUGAGGGAAAGAUGAAAAGCACUUUGGAAAGAGAGUUAAACAGUACGUGAAAUUGUUAAAAGGGAAACGAUUGAAGUCAGUCGUGACUGAGAGGCUCAGCCGGUUCUGCCGGUGUAUUCCCCUCAGUCGGGGUCAACAUCAGUUUUGUUCGGUGGAUAAGGGCAGUUGGAAGGUGGCACCCUCGGGUGUGUUAUAGCCAGCUGUCGCAUACAUCGGAUGAGACUGAGGAAUGCAGCUCGCCUUUAUGGCCGGGGUUCGCCCACGUUCGAGCUUAGGAUGUUGACAUAAUGGCUUUAAACGACCCGUCUUGAAA
rnacentral:rRNA from 1 species